rnacentral:lncRNA from 1 species
CUGCACCGCAGUAUUAAGCUCCCUCAGGUCUUUAAAGUGCAGCCAAUGGAACUUUGUCUGCUGGGUGGGAGCAGGCGCUCGCUUCCUACAUCACUCUCUUCCCCACUGGGUGGAAAGGUCACCAUCAGUAGGCACCGCUAUCCUACCUGCGGGUACAACUUCUGUGGAGGCAGAUUCAGCUUGGGCGAUCCGGGAGGAGUUCUCUGCAGUGGAAGUUGGAGGGUCAUAGCUGGCGGCUCCCGUGGAGCAGGUCUGUGAGGUCUGCAAGGACUGUGGGUCUUCUCUAAAAAUGUUCUGCAACUUUGGGAAGUCACCUGCUCUCUUGUCUUGGAGGCUACCAAGAGUCCACUCUACAAAGAGGAGGGCAACAUAGAGGAAAAUAUUCUUCAGUGCUUCAAGGGGAAGCCCCAUCCAGCCCCAGCAAGGCCUUUGACUUAUCUCACAGAGACAGGCAAUGAAUAAAGGCAGGCUCCAAGAGUAAGAGAUUCCUCCCAAGCCCAAGUGACUCCUGUAAAUGUAACUGAUUUUAGCAGGACAAAAACAAGCAAUAAUUUUGGCUACCUGCUUGAUCUUAAACACCCAACAGUAAACAUAAAAUUAAAUAAAAUUAAAAUAAAAACAGUAAACAUUAAAAUGUAAACAUUAA